rnacentral:rRNA from 1 species
CACCCGCGCCACAAGUGGUGAUCGCUAUUAUUGGGCCUAAAGCGUCCGUAGCAGGCCAUGUAAAUCUUAUGUGAAAUUGUUGCGCUCAACGUAACAGCAUGCAUGAGACACUGCAAGGCUUGGGAUCGGGAGGAGUCAGAGGUAUUUCUUGGGGAGCGGUAAAAUGCUAUAAUCCAAGAAGGACCACCUAUGGCGAAGGCAUCUGACCAGAACGAAUCCGACUGUGAGGGACGAAAGCUAGGGGAGCGAACCG